UAUUACCACCUAACCAAUGUUAUUACAAAUUACAAAAAACACACUCUCGUAACUCUGACUAUUUUAACAUGUCAAUAAGCUAUUCACAAUCAUAAACAAAUGCACUCGUGUAACCUUGAUUGGUGGAUAUAAGGGUGGUGCGGUGAAAAUAGUCAGUUACUAAUAAACACUUACUAUAUACGUGUACGACAGCCCAUUGCAGUAUGUAAUGACACUAGGAAAGCAGAUGUGAGAAGGUUGUUGCUAACGGUAUCUUUUUUACUUGACACUUUGUGAAAAUAAAAUUUGGUAUUAGGGGCAUUAGUGAUCUUGGGCUAUUUAUCUCAGUGCUGGACAAUUAGAUUUAGUGUACUUACGUGUAAUGCAGACAUUCCGAACAUUUUUUGUUAUAUAGUGAGAGAGUGAGU